rnacentral:rRNA from 1 species
GACGAACGCUGGCGGCGUGCUUAACACAUGCAAGUCGAACGGUGAAGCUCCAGCUUGCUGGAGUGGAUCAGUGGCGAACGGGUGAGUAACACGUGAGCAACCUGCCCCUGACUCUGGAAUAAGCGCUGGAAACGGCGUCUAAUACUGGAUACGAGAAGGGUCCGCAUGGGCACUUUCUGGAAAGUUUUUCGGUUGGGGAUGGGCUCGCGGCCUAUCAGCUUGUUGGUGAGGUAAUGGCUCACCAAGGUGACGACGGGUAGCCGGCCUGAGAGGGCGACCGGCCACACUGGGACUGAGACACGGCCCAGACUCCUACGGGAGGCAGCAGUGGGGAAUAUUGCACAAUGGGCGAAAGCCUGAUGCAGCGACGCCGCGUGAGGGAUGACGGCCUUCGGGUUGUAAACCUCUUUCAGCAGGGAAGAAGCGAAAGUGACGGUACCUGCAGAAGAAGCACCGGCUAACUACGG